GCGUGGCGGGGGCUCGGGUUGGCGUUGGGACUUGGCUCUGAGCCCCGCAAGCUGCAGGGUUCUGCGGUGACGUAGUGGGCUGGGACCCGCCGAGCGUUAAGUGCCCGAGCGAGGCUGUGCUCGCGAGCUACCCGCCUGCGUACAGCGGGGCCUCGCGGGACGCGUUUGCAGCCGGUUUGCGGUCCGACCUGGGGCUGGGUGUGAGCUCGCGGAGUGCGAGCUCCGGGCGCCUCGCCGGGGAAGGCCUCGCAGAGGACUGAGGGCUUUCGCGGCGUGACGGGGCAGGAGGCGUUCAAGGGGGGCAGAAAUGCCGUCCUAAUUCCCCAGAUCACGGAAUUGGAUCGACGCUAUUGUGCAGAAUGUUGCAGGGGGUUAAACUUAAGCCAAGGUCUAGAAGGUGAAUGCAGCCGAUUCCGUUAGUAUGGUUAAAAUGCAAAAAGAGGCAAAAGUAGAAAGAGAAAAUGCAAGGCGAGGUAAUAACAUUAUUUUGUAAAAAUACAAGACAGGUGAAUGCAAAUGUAGCCAUGCACUCCCCCAAGGAGUUCAGUCACAAAUUUAAUUAAUAAUUUUUUUAACAAGUGUCAUGAGCAUGGAAGUAUGUCCUCUGGAAUGAUGGCUGAAGCAUAAAGAGGCAUACAAAUCUGUAGCGCAUCUGGCACAUAAAUAUCUUGCAACACCACUUAUAAUAGUGCCAUGCAACUGCCUGUUCUCACUUUCAAGUGAUAUUGUAAUUAAGUGGGCAGCAUUAUCUCAGUUAUGUAAGACAAAAACUACAUUUGAAGUUGCACUUUCAUGAUAAAGAGAUUGCACUGCAGUAUUUGUAUGAGGUGAAUUGAAAAAUACCACUUUUGUUUAUAAUUUUUACGUGCAAAUAUUUGGAAGCAAAAAUAAUAUGAGCACUGUACACUUUGUAUUCUGUGUAAUUUAAAUCAAUAUAUUUUAAAAUGUAGAAGAACAUUGAAAAUAUUUAAUACAUUUCAAUUGGUA